UCUCAGGCAGCGUCAGUACGUCCGCAGCACAUGGCUGACAGUCCCCAAGAGCACCUGGCCUCGCCACAGCAAGACAGGUAUCUCUAUGGCGCUGCUGGAGACCAAGCGGGGGAUCCAGCACUUUGCCUUUGAGCACAGCAGAGAGUACCAGCAAGUCCAGUUCAAGUUCUUGGACGCUGUGGAGUCCAUGGACCCUAAUAACCUUGUCGUAAGUUCUUGACUUGGCCAGUUUGCAGCAACAACAUAUGCAGCUGCUUUCUCCUUGUUAGCACCUGGUUUCUAUGCUUGAUGGGGAAGAUCAGGCCGAUGAUCCAGCUACUGCAGGGGGAGCCUGUGGCAAUUGCGUCUGGAGAUCUAUGUAAGCCUGAGCCAUCUAUCAACCCAUGGAAGGCCCCUCAGAUUAACCAUUCUGUGCUUUGUGGCAAGCAGAACCAUCUGACUGUGCCUCCAAAGCUCCGGAGGGUCCCAGAGUUCUGAUCCCAUUAUCACGUCUGGACAUGGAGGCCUCACGUGAUAUUUCAGCUUCUCAUCACAAAGCACAGAACAGUCCUGCAGGACAGCCUCAGGCACCGUUUUCUUUGUCAGAGGAGAGUGAGUUUUGGGUGUUUCAAAGAGAGAAGAAAAGAAUGCCAAUCUCUACAGCAGAGGUGUCAAACUUGUGGCCUUCCAGCUGUUUGGGCCUCCGACGCUCAGAAGCCCCUAUUGCCAGCUUGUCUAAUGGCCAGGAAUUUUGGGAGCUGGAGUCGAAAACUCAUGGAGGGCUGUAAGUUUGACACUACUGACCUACAAUGUCUGCAAAAGGAGGAGGAGAAAUGCACGUAUGUGGGUGUCCCAUUGGUCCUGUAGGAGGACAAAUAGGCAAGAAAGCAUCACACAAUGGUUCCUUGAGACAGGACCACAGGCAAUUGAUGCUAAGUUUUUAAGAAUUGUUAAGUGAUAUUUACAUUUUAUUGUUAUUGUUUUAAUUAUUGUUUCACUGUUUUAUUUAUUGUUUUAUGUAAGUUUUAUGUAUGUUGUUGGGCUCGUCCCUGUGUAAGCCACCCCGAGUCCCUUCGGGGAGAUGGUGGCGGGAUACAAGAAUAAAGUUGUUGUUGUUAUUAUUAUUAUUA